GACGAACGCUGGCGGCGUGCUUAACACAUGCAAGUCGAGCGGAAAGGCCACUUCGGUGGUACUCGAGCGGCGAACGGGUGAGUAACACGUGAGUAAUCUGCCCUUGGCUUCGGGAUAGCCACCGGAAACGGUGAUUAAUACCGGAUAUGACCACUUCUCGCAUGGGUUGUGGUGGAAAGUUUUUCGGCCAGGGAUGUGCUCGCGGCCUAUCAGCUUGAUGGUGAGGUAAUGGCUCACCAUGGCUUCGACGGGUAGCCGGCCUGAGAGGGUGACCGGUCACACUGGGACUGAGACACGGCCCAGACUCCUACGGGAGGCAGCAGUGGGGAAUAUUGGACAAUGGGCGGAAGCCUGAUCCAGCAACGCCGCGUGAGGGAUGACGGCCUUCGGGUUGUAAACCUCUUUCGCUCAUGACGAAGCGAGCCUUUGGGUGAGUGACGGUAAUGGGUAAAGAAGCACCGGCCAACUACGUGCCAGCAGCCGCCGUAACAC
rnacentral:rRNA from 1 species